AACUUUGUGCAGUGGCAGUAUCAUAGCCAGUGAGGUUUAUCCAAAGCGUGAUUAUUGCUAAUUGAAAUAAAAUGGUUCCCUAAUUAAAUACUGAUGGUGAUUACAAAAGUGUAACAGAAUGGCAUCUGAUUUCCAUAAAGCUAACUUGAACAGACAGAACAGUU
rnacentral:snRNA from 1 species